rnacentral:misc_RNA from 1 species
GAUGAAGAACGUAGCGAAAUGCGAUAAGUAAUGUGAAUUGCAGAAUUCAGUGAAUCAUCGAAUCUUUGAACGCACAUUGCGCCCGCCAGUAUUCUGGCGGGCAUGCCUGUUCGAGCGUCAUUUCAACCCUCAAGCCCCCGGGCUUGGUGUUGGGGAUCGGCGUGCCCUCGCGGCGCGCCGUCCCCUAAAUCUAGUGGCGGUCUCGCUGUAGCUUCCUCUGCGUAGUAGCAACACUCGCACUGGAUCGCAGCGCGGCCACGCCGUUAAACCCCCCACUUCUGAAAGUUUGACCUCGGAUCAGGUAGGAAUACCCGCUGAACUUAAGCAUAUCAAAGCGGAGGA